CACGUAGGGCGCGAGCGUUGUCCGGAAUUAUUGGGCGUAAAGAGCUCGUAGGCGGCCUGUUGCGUCCGCUGUGAAAGCCCGGGGCUUAACCCCGGGUCGGCAGUGGAUACGGGCAGGCUAGAGGUAGGUAGGGGAGAAUGGAAUUCCUGGUGUAGCGGUGAAAUGCGCAGAUAUCAGGAGGAACACCGGUGGCGAAGGCGGAUCUCUGGGCCAUUACUGACGCUGAGGAGCGAAAGCGUGGGGGAGCGAACAGG
rnacentral:rRNA from 1 species